GACGAACGCUGGCGGCGUGCUUAACACAUGCCAGUCGAACGGUGAAGCUCCAGCUUGCUGGAGUGGAUCAGUGGCGAACGGGUGAGUAACACGUGAGCAACCUGCCCCUGACUCUGGAAUAAGCGCUGGAAACGGCGGCUAAUACUGGAUACGAGAAGGGUCCGCAUGGGCACUUUCUGGAAAGUUUUUCGGUUGGGGAUGGGCUCGCUGCCUAUCAGCUUGUUGGUGAGGUAAUGGCUCACCAAGGCGACGACGGGUAGCCGGCCUGAGAGGGCGACCGGCCACACUGGGACUGAGACACGGCCCAGACUCCUACGGGAGGCAGCAGUGGGGAAUAUUGCACAAUGGGCGAAAGCCUGAUGCAGCGACGCCGCGUGAGGGAUGACGGCCUUCGGGUUGUAAACCUCUUUCAGCAGGGAAGAAGCGAAAGUGACGGUACCUGCAGAAGAAGCACCGGCUAACUACGUG
rnacentral:rRNA from 1 species